UUACAGCACUAUUAAUGUUCCCUUUUCAGGAUCGAGUUCCCAGGGCAUUCUUUCUCUUAGUAACUGAGGCUGACAACAACUAUUUCUAAGUGGAAACAUUGCUGCUUUAAGUAAGAGGUGUAUGUGUGUCUAUGUGCGUGUCUCUGUGCAUAGGGCGAGUGUCUGUGUGUGUGGAUAGGGUGUGUGUGUGUAUGUGUGUAGCGCGGGAGUAGAGACUUUUUCUUCCUCUCGAAACGUAGCCAUGAGAAAGACAGACCGGCUGCUGUCACUGCCUUUCCAGGGACAGAAUGACACAGUGAAAGAGUUGCCCACAGUGGCAUUAGCAUCUCCUCAGACUCCAGCUCUACCUUUUGCUGAACAGUAGAAAAGCACUCAAUCUUAAUGCAGAGCUCUAGUAUACCUUUUUAUUCCCGUCUUCUUUUUUUUCACAGCAGUAUAGAGGACUGGUUGGACGCCAAUAGACUGAGAAAUCUUUAAUUAAUUUCUCAUUUGACAAAUGUCUUUGGAGUGACUAUGAGAUGGUAGCACUCAGAAUACACUGGUCAACAAUACAACGUCAGUGCCCUUGUGGAGCUAGCAUACCAUUUGGGGGUAGUAUUUGGCAAAGAGAGGUUCCCUCCGAGAGACGGAGUCCGAGAAUCAAUGGCAAAGUCAAUGGGACAUUCAAAAGACCUCAGUGUCAUCAUUUGCUACGAGUGGGAAUAAAGGUCAAAGGUGGAUGGAAACUUAAGACUCAAGAGAUUUCAUUUGAGAAGUCUCCCUCACAAGCUCGAGGAUGUAUCUACGUGGUGGAGACCUAGGUACGUGGGACAGCAACAGCCAGGUCUUCCCUGCCAGCAGCCCUCCCAUACCGAGUUCUAAGAUAUGUCUUAUGAUACUGGCUCUACUGAACACUCAGCAGUUUUGCAUCCUUCUCAUGAAUAUCAAGGUCCAAAACCAGAUCGUCCCUGGUGUCCUGGACCUGGAAGCCUUGUAUCUAACAGAGCCCGGAUGAUGAGUCCACAGUUGAGAAACUGAGGAGCUAGGAACUUAACACCACAUUCCCUGGGGCCAAAAAGGGCCAGAAGUAGGAAUGUCUUCAGUAUCAGGCCCAAUGAAGAUGCUGAUGAGAGGACCUGGGUCAUCCACAGGACAAGACAUGAUGAGAAAGAGACACUGUGGAAUAAAAGACGCACAAUCACAUCAAUCUCAUGAUCGCUCCCAACAUCACCCGUCUGAUCAGUAAAGUGCUUCUCCCUGGAAUGGUCAGUGCAAACUGCAAACAGUGCGAAGAUGAGGAAGGAGAGGAGCGUAUAUUUAUCUUUGGCUCAGGACAUGUAGGGCUAAGGCCCGUGGCUGAAGUUUUUUCCUUCUAGAAAUUUCACUUAGUGCUCACACCUUGGCUGACACCCGUUAUGCUGCUCAGCCAUUCCCGCUUGACCGAAUUCCUCUCUGAGCUGUUCUUCCACCAUAAAUCAUGGCGGGGGCUCUGCCCCUACUCCUGUAAUCACCUCUAUCCCAUAACAAAUGGGUGCAGACAGAAUUGCAACUGCAUGAUGUUUUAGUGGCUGGCAGUCAAGCCCCCAACAGCCUUGAACGCCUCCUCUCCACCCCGAUCGUGGAGGUAGGUGGGCUGCGGAUCUAUCUGAACCUGAUAAACAAAACCCAUUAAUUCCAAGGACGCUGCUUGCCAGGGCGUGCCCAAUGACAUCCUCUAUCAAUAUACCUGGCAGAGCAAAACUAUCAAUGCACUUAUUCUUUUAAAACAUGGCAGGGACGGCUCAAUGUUUUCUUCUUCAGUUCAGAAGGGGAAAAUGAGAACUCCAAGUAUGCAGGGUCUCACUGAACAUGGAUGUACUUCAGAAUCUGUAUCUGUAAUUUUCCACUCACUUGUGCUCUUGGCAAUGAGACAGUAGCUCUAAGAUCUUAUGGUCUUUUCACCUCUGAAAUAUGCCAGUAUUUCUCUCUUUAAAUACCAUUUUACAAAUUGGGACUGAUAAUGAAGGCUGUCUGAUACCUAUGUAAAAGGCCAAUACAUCUUUUACAACAGCGAAAUUUCUUAAAUCACCAGGUAGAAGUUGUCCAAAUUCUGUGCUUCUCAUCUUAAGUUGUCUUAACUCUCUUUGCUAGCUACAGCUGUGUUUGUAUAAUACAUUUUCAUACUCAAUUUUGUCCUUGAAUAGUUUUUACCCUUGGCUAUAAACCUCUCGGGACCUUAGGGAUCUUGUAUUUAAACUGCCUGAUGGUUUUAGACCAGUGUUAUUGACCAGUAUUCUGAUUCAUUUAGUCUCUUUUUUCCA